UUUAAAUUUGAAAAACCGAUAAUAUUUGGUUUGGUUAUGGUUAUAGUAAAAAAUAAUUGAAUAAAUAACCGAACCAAACCGAUAAUUAUAUACAUAAAAUUUAUAAUUAUUUAUAUAUAUAAUAUUAUCUUUUCAUAAAUAAUUAAAGAUAUUUUAUACCUUUUAAUUAUUAAUUUAAUUUUGGUCUACUUAUUUUUAAGGCCCAUGUCUUAAAAGAAUAUGUCCAACAAUCCAAGCCCAACUCUAAUAAGUCGUAAACAUAAGGGUAAAAAGUAAAAACCCUACUAUCUCUUUUCAUUUUACAUUUCUGAUUUCUGCUCCAGCCAAAGAACAAGAGAAGCAGAAGCUCACAUUUCUCACAAACUCACAGUCAUAGACUCACAGUGAAGGCUCAAGAGCAACCUCAACUCCUCAAGAACAAGGCUGUCAAAUUUUGAGAAGAUGAAAAGGACAGAGGUUGAAGAUUUGGAGAUUGAAGAUUUGGAGGUUGAACAUUUGGAGGUUCCUAAAGAUAGUUCAGUAACACCAACAUCUGCUGUAACUCAAGCACACGGUAAUGCUCCUAACACUUCUUCCGUGCGUAAACCUCCUAAAAA